GGAGAGGUGGCCGAGUGGCUGAAGGCACCGGUUUGCUAAACCGGCAUAGGGUUUAUAGCUCUAUCGAGGGUUCGAAUCCCUCCCUCUCCG
rnacentral:tRNA from 1 species